CGGAAAUGGCGCAGCUACCAUGCAGUCGAGCGGUAGCACAGAGAGCUUGCUCUCGGGUGACGAGCGGCGGACGGGUGAGUAAUGUCUGGGAAACUGCCUGAUGGAGGGGGAUAACUACUGGAAACGGUAGCUAAUACCGCAUAAUGUCGCAAGACCAAAGUGGGGGACCUUCGGGCCUCAUGCCAUCAGAUGUGCCCAGAUGGGAUUAGCUAGUAGGUGGGGUAACGGCUCACCUAGGCGACGAUCCCUAGCUGGUCUGAGAGGAUGACCAGCCACACUGGAACUGAGACACGGUCCAGACUCCUACGGGAGGCAGCAGUGGGGAAUAUUGCACAAUGGGCGCAAGCCUGAUGCAGCCAUGCCGCGUGUGUGAAGAAGGCCUUCGGGUUGUAAAGCACUUUCAGCGGGGAGGAAGGCGUUAAGGUUAAUAACCUUGGCGAUUGACGUUACCCGCAGAAGAAGCACCGGCUAACUCCGUGCCAGCAGCCGCGGUAAUACGGAGGGUGCAAGCGUUAAUCGGAAUUACUGGGCGUAAAGCGCACGCAGGCGGUCUGUCAAGUCGGAUGUGAAAUCCCCGGGCUCAACCUGGGAACUGCAUUCGAAACUGGCAGGCUAGAGUCUUGUAGAGGGGGGUAGAAUUCCAGGUGUAGCGGUGAAAUGCGUAGAGAUCUGGAGGAAUACCGGUGGCGAAGGCGGCCCCCUGGACAAAGACUGACGCUCAGGUGCGAAAGCGUGGGGAGCAAACAGGAUUAGAUACCCUGGUAGUCCACGCCGUAAACGAUGUCGAUUUGGAGGUUGUGCCCUUGAGGCGUGGCUUCCGGAGCUAACGCGUUAAAUCGACCGCCUGGGGAGUACGGCCGCAAGGUUAAAACUCAAAUGAAUUGACGGGGGCCCGCACAAGCGGUGGAGCAUGUGGUUUAAUUCGAUGCAACGCGAAGAACCUUACCUGGUCUUGACAUCCACAGAACUUACCAGAGAUGGUUUGGUGCCUUCGGGAACUGUGAGACAGGUGCUGCAUGGCUGUCGUCAGCUCGUGUUGUGAAAUGUUGGGUUAAGUCCCGCAACGAGCGCAACCCUUAUCCUUUGUUGCCAGCGGUUCGGCCGGGAACUCAAAGGAGACUGCCAGUGAUAAACUGGAGGAAGGUGGGGAUGACGUCAAGUCAUCAUGGCCCUUACGACCAGGGCUACACACGUGCUACAAUGGCAUAUACAAAGAGAAGCGACCUCGCGAGAGCAAGCGGACCUCAUAAAGUAUGUCGUAGUCCGGAUUGGAGUCUGCAACUCGACUCCAUGAAGUCGGAAUCGCUAGUAAUCGUAGAUCAGAAUGCUACGGUGAAUACGUUCCCGGGCCUUGUACACACCGCCCGUCACACCAUGGGAGUGGGUUGCAAAAGAAGUAGGUAGCUUAACCUUCGGGAGGGCGCUACCACUUGAUCCGGGCU
rnacentral:rRNA from 1 species